rnacentral:rRNA from 1 species
UGAUGCAGCCAUGCCGCGUGUGUGAAGAAGGCUUUCGGGUUGUAAAGCACUUUCAGCGAGGAGGAAAGGGUAAUGGUUAAUAUCCAUUAUCUGUGACGUUACUCGCAGAAGAAGCACCGGCUAACUCCGUGCCAGCAGCCGCGGUAAUACGGAGGGUGCGAGCGUUAAUCGGAAUUACUGGGCGUAAAGCGCGCGUAGGUGGUUAAUUAAGUCAGAUGUGAAAGCCCAGGGCUCAACCUUGGAACUGCAUUUGAAACUGGUUGACUAGAGUUUUGUAGAGGGUGGUAGAAUUUCAGGUGUAGCGGUGAAAUGCGUAGAGAUCUGAAGGAAUACCAGUGGCGAAGGCGGCCACCUGGACAAAGACUGACACUGAGGCGCGAAGGCGUGGGGAGCAAACGGGAUUAGAUACCCCGGUAGUCCACGCAGUAAACGAUGUCUAUUAGAAGUUUGUGGCUAUAUGCCGUGGGUUUCAAAGCUAACGCAUUAAAUAGACCGCCUGGGGAGUACGGCCGCAAGGUUAAAACUCAAG